ensembl:snRNA U6 U6 spliceosomal RNA
GUGCUCAUGUUAGCAGCGCUCGUGCUAAAAUUGGAAUGGGACAGAAUUAGCAUGGCCCCUGGACAAGAAUAACACAAAAUUUUGUUUCAUAUUCUG